UUCCGGUUGAUCCUGCCGGAGGUCACUGCUAUUGGGAUUCGACUAAGCCAUGCGAGUCGAGAGGGUUCGGCCCUCGGCUGACGGCUCAGUAACACGUGGAUAAUCUGUCCUUAGGCGGAGGACAAUCUCGGGAAACUGAGAAUAAUACUCCAUAGAUCUAGGAUGCUGGAAUGCACUUAGAUUGAAAGCUCCGGCGCCUAAGGAUGAGUCUGCGGACUAUCAGGUUGUGGUCAGGGUAAUGACCUGACUAGCCUACGACGGAUACGGGUUGUGAGAGCAAUAACCCGGAGACGAUAUCUGAGACACGAUAUCGGGCCCUACGGGGCGCAGCAGGCGCGAAAACUUCACACUGUGCGAAAGCACGAUGAGGGAAUCCCGAGUGCCAACUCGUAAGAGUUGGCUGUUUCUCUGUCUAAAAAAUAGAGAGAGUAAGAGCUGGGUAAGACGGGUGCCAGCCGCCGCGGUAAUACCUGCAGCUCAAGUGGUGGCCACUAUUAUUGGGCCUAAAACGUCCGUAGCCGGUUUAAUAAAUGCCGGGGUAAAUCGUGUAGCUUAACUAUACGAAUUCCGGGUAGACUGUUAGACUUGAGACCGGGAGAAGCUAGAGGUACUCCUAGGGUAGAGGUGAAAUUCUGUAAUCCUAGGGGGACCACCAGUGGCGAAGGCGUCUAGCUAGAACGGGUCUGACGGUGAGGGACGAAGCCCUGGGGCGCAAACCGGAUUAGAUACCCGGGUAGUCCAGGGUGUAAACGCUGCUCGCUUGAUGUUAGUUGGGCUCCGAGCCCAACUAGUGUCGGAGAGAAGUUGUUAAGCGAGCUGCCUGGGAAGUACGGCCGCAAGACUGAAACUUAAAGGAAUUGGCGGGGGAGCACAGCAACGGGUGGAGCGUGCGGUUUAAUUGGAAUCAACGCCGG
rnacentral:rRNA from 1 species